CUCUUUGUAGCUCAGUUGGUUAGAGCGCUGCACAGGAAUUGCAGGACCGCAAGAUCGAUUCCUGGCAGAGGGU